rnacentral:piRNA from 1 species
UGUGCAACACAGAGAAGCACCUCUCUUUU